rnacentral:rRNA from 1 species
UACGUAGGGGUCGAGCGUUGUCCGGACUUACUGGGCGUAAAGCGUGGGUAGGUGGUCGGUGAUGUGCCGUGUGAAAGCCCCGCGUUCAUCGGGGGGAGGUCGCGGUAGACACAUUGACUUGAGGCAUACAGAGGGCCGUGGAAUUCCCGGUGUAGUGGUGAAAUGCGUAGAUAUCAGGAGGAACACCGAUUGCGAAGGCAGCUCGCUGGGACGUUACUGACGCUGAGACGCGAAAGCGUGGGGAGCGAACGGG